GACGUUAAAGACUAGUGUUAUUCAUCAUUAGCAGGUUUAAAGGGUACUUAGACGGCAAAUCAAGCCAUAGAAGGGACUAGUUUGCUAGAGUUACUUGUGAAGGGGCUUGAAAGUACUGGUGGUGUAGAGAUAAAAUGCUAAUAUACCUUUUUUCAAUAGAAAAGUAAUGGCACUGGUAAAGGCGAAAGCAUCCCCUUAUGUGAUAACUGACGUUAAAGGACGAAGGCUUUGAGCCGCGAAUAGG
rnacentral:rRNA from 1 species